AAAAGGCUAUCAAAAACUUCAAAACAAGGAGUCACAGAGUUCAUGAAUGAAGUUGGAUUGGUAGCCAAGCUACAACACCGCAAUCUUGUGAGUGUUUUGGGUGGGUGCACUUAUGGAAAUGAAAGAAUGUUAGUCUAUGAAUACAUGCCUAAUGGUAGUUUGAACCACUUCAUUUUUGGUAAGACCACCAAUACAAAACUUGUAACACUUUGAGCCUUUUCUUCAUUUAGCUAACAUGUGCUGUAAUGGCUAAGUGAUCUAUCAUUAAUACAUUAUCCUU
rnacentral:lncRNA from 1 species